CCUACGGGAGGCAGCAGUGAGGAAUAUUGGUCAAUGGACGAGAGUCUGAACCAGCCAAGUAGCGUGAAGGAUGACUGCCCUAUGGGUUGUAAACUUCUUUUAUAUGGGAAUAAAACGUUCCACGUGUGGGAUUUUGUAUGUACCAUAUGAAUAAGGAUCGGCUAACUCCGUGCCAGCAGCCGCGGUAAUACGGAGGAUCCGAGCGUUAUCCGGAUUUAUUGGGUUUAAAGGGAGCGUAGGUGGAUUGUUAAGUCAGUUGUGAAAGUUUGCGGCUCAACCGUAAAAUUGCAGUUGAAACUGGCAGUCUUGAGUACAGUAGAGGUGGGCGGAAUUCGUGGUCUAGCGGUGAAAUGCUUAGAUAUCACGAAGAACUCCGAUUGCGAAGGCAGUUCACUGGACUGCAACUGACACUGAGGCUCGAAAGUGUGGGUAUCAAACAGGAUUAGAUACCCGUGUAGUC
rnacentral:rRNA from 1 species